CGACGCCGCCGCCGUCGCGCGGCUCCUGUGUUGUUGCCCUAUAUCCAGAGCUUUCUUGCUGGCCUAUCCCUACGAGCUUCGCCCCCUGCCUGCCUGCUCGGGAUCCGGGAUCGCGUUUGCCUCUCGGCUCGCUGCGCCGCCGCCGCAGCACCGCCGCCUCGGCCCGUCUGCCUGUGCAGUUGGGAGUGGAGGAUCAUCCAAUGAGGCUGUUGAAAGCGGGUCAGUUGUUCAGGAAAGUCAUUGAGGGCGGGUCAGAAAAGCAAUCUCGACUGCUUGGGCUUGAUGUUGGCAGCAAAUAUGUUGGACUGGCCGUUUCUGAUGACAAAAAUAGGAUUGCAUUGCCCCUAAGUGUAUUGAGCAGGACAAAGACAAACAUUGGCUUGAUGGCAGAUGACUUCGUAACUUUGGUUUCAAAGUACUCCCUUGCAGGCUUUGUUGUGGGUUAUCCAUUCAACUUGCAGGGUCAAGCUAGUCCAGAUGCAUUACAGGUAAGGCUUCUUGUCGGAGAACUCUGUAAAACUGGGAAACUUGAUGAUGUGAGUUACACCUAUUGGGAUGAAAAUUUUACCUCGAAGUGUGUAGAAGCCCUUUUAUAUCCUCUGAAACUAAAUGACCCAGUUGAAAUCAAAACAAUGACAGAUAAAUUUGCUGCAGUUUGCAUACUCCAGGGCUAUCUAGAUAACAUGAACAGAGAAUUGAGAUGUGCAGAUGAUUCUGAGAAACAGCGUGACACCUGAGUUCCAUCUUGUUGGUGCACUGCUGCCAUAUGAAAAAGGCAUAGGUAAUGUCCAUGAGCAAUUCGUCGAGACGUGUACAAAGCUCAUGCUCUCAUAUGGGUCAUAAGUUUAGUAGAUGCUGAGCUGACAGUUCAUCAAUGGGUACGAGCAGCCUCCCUGCCUGCCCGCUGGAGGCAAAUUUGUUGUAGAUGAUGCAAAAGUAUUGAGAAGUUUCUUGCCCGCUGUUUCAACCUCUACUUGCUUAUGAGGCCAUUGGCACCGAAAUGCUUCCUUAUCUCUAUUCUCCAUGAACUAAGCGGUCCAGCUAUGCAUUCUUGGCAGCUGGAGCAACCUCUUCCAAUAUGCUUGCCGAACCGAGAAGAUCCAAUCAGGCUGUCGAGUCAAAUCGAGUUCAGGUUCACACUGGCGUGCUGCAGCCAGAUUCCAUUUCCAUGUCUGCAUGCGUAUGCUUGGACAAAAUUCACCGUGAUGUUAACAACUCAUGUCAUUCGACGGGCAGCUUUUGCUCAUUGUCACAUCCCGGAUACUUGCAAAUCCUCCACAGAUGUUGUGCUUGUCAGGUAUAUAUCCGUGGCCUGCAAUGCUCCGCGCAAUUGUGAAGUCUAUAUCUAGAGCUGAUAGCGUGAGGAAUCGUGUGACCAUGGUCCUUGCUGUCUGGUUGCAAAAGAUCGAAAAUUCUACUCUACAAAGCAAGUUAGGCUGACAGGUAAUCUUGUGGAUGUGAUGAGAUAUGUUCAGUUAUCCAACUUCGUGUACUAUUCUAUAGAGUACAUGAUAGGUGAAGAAAUAGGCACAAGAGCUAAUGCGUAGACUUGGGCUGAUGAGAUUGUUUCAGGCUGGAGGACAAUGCUCUGUGGUUGGCAUGCAAUGCGAGCCUGCAAUGGAUAAAAUCAAACAAUCUGCGGCUGUAAUCUGCAUAGUCUAUUUCCAGUUUUCCACAAGGGAUGGCGUAACUUCAGUCAUCCAUCCAGCAGACUCAGAAGUCAGAAAGCCAAACUAAGGAGAGAAAAAAAAAAUCUGAUGUGGUAGGCACAGAACAGCACAGCAAUUAAGCACGACACAUCAGGAGAGCAAGCAAGCCACUUGUCAACGAGCUCUCACGUAUGCCUGCCUGCUUCCACGCCAAAAGUCCACUGCAGCUCAAAGACCAGGAGAGGAGAAAGCGAUGAGCACAGCACGAAACCGAGGUAGCCGAAUCAUGCAAAGUCAACACAGUUGACAGCCAGCAGUAGCUCUGUGUAAAAGAGAUUUGGCAGCCAAGGGAAGACAGGUCAGGUGCUCACAUCACCAUAACGUGGAAACCGUACUGCCUAAUUAGGGAGAUAGAUGAGCUGAAAGUACACUGGCACGUUGGAGAUAACUUGAAGGUAAAGAAGACGGCUGGUUCACGGUAGCUGAUUCGGUCGAGCAGCCACCGGUUUUGGACCGGAAUGCACGAGCUAGUUCGAGCGGCUUCCUCUCCAUUAUUUCUUUAUUUUGAUUCCCGGUUUGUUUGUUUGUUUGUUUAUCUCGCGGUUUCUUGACCAGAGAUAGGCUGCCGUGUAUGUUUAAAGAUCGAGUCUUCGACAAUUUGGUUGUCUCGAUUUUUUUUGGGGACAUUGUAGACUUUGAAUGAAAGGAAGGAAGAUUAAUUAAU